GAAAUGUGGUCAAGUUAAUAAGGGCUAAUGGUGGAUACCUAGGCACACAGAGGCGAUGAAGGACGUGGUUACCGACGAAAUGUUCCGGGGAGUUGGAAGCAAACUUUGAGCCGGAAAUGUCCGAAUGGGGCAACCCUAUGUACUACCUGUUGAAUAUAUAGACAGGAAAGAGCCAACCCAGCGAACUGAAACAUCUUAGUAGCUGGAGGAAGAGAAAUCAAACUAGAGAUUCCCUCAGUAGUGGUGAGCGAAAGGGGAAGAGCCUAAACCAAGGGAUUUAUCCUCUGGGGUCGUGGGACAGCGAGAUCGAAUCUAGAGACUAAACGAAACAGCUAAAUACUGUACCAGAGGGGGUGAAAGUCCCGUAGUUGAAAGUCAAAGGAUAGUAGCUGAAUCCCGAGUAGCAUGGAGCACGAGGAAUUCCAUGUGAAUCAGCGAGGACCACCUCGUAAGGCUAAAUACUA
rnacentral:rRNA from 1 species